GUCGAACCGAGCGAACGUUGUUCGGAAUCACUGGGCUUAAAGGGCGCGUAGGCGGGCUGCCGCGUCCGGGGUGAAAUCCCACGGCUCAACCGUGGAACGGCCCCGGGUACGGGCGGCCUCGAGGAAGGUAGGGGCGUGCGGAACUGUGGGUGGAGCGGUGAAAUGCGUUGAUAUCCACAGGAACUCCGGUGGCGAAGGCGGCACGCUGGACCUUUUCUGACGCUGAGGCGCGAAAGCCAGGGGAGCGAACGGG
rnacentral:rRNA from 1 species